CCCAGUAUCCUAUUCACGGCCGCGGUAUUCUGACCGUGCAAAGGUAGCAUAAUCAUUUGUCUUUUAAAUAAAGACUAGUAUGAAUGGCACCACGAAAGCUUAACUGUCUCCCUUGCUUAGUCAAUGAAACUGAUUUUCCCGUACAAAAGCGGGGAUAUUAAAAUAAGACGAGAAGACCCUAUGGAACUUAAAACACGCAAUCACUUUAACUUAAUAUAACAGCAAUAAAUGACUGAACUAUGCUGUUUUUGGUUGGGGCGACCACGGAGCAAAACCCAACCUCCGAGAACACUACCCAGAUAGACACAACAAAGUACCAAAACUUUGGAUUUAGACCCAAUAAACUUGAUCACCGAACCAAGCUACCCUAGGGAUAACAGCGCAAUCUUCUUCAAGAGCCCUUAUCACCAAGAAGGUUUACGACCUCGAUGUUGGAUCAGGAUACCCAGACAGUGCAGCCGCCGUCAAAGGUUUGUUUGUUCAACAAUUAAUAAUCCUACGUGAUCU
rnacentral:rRNA from 1 species